UUCAGGUCCGAUGUCUAAAAGACUAUGGAGAAUUUGAAGUUGAUGAUGGCACUUCAGUCCUUUUAAAAAAAAAUAGCCAGCACUUUUUACCUCGUUGGAAGUGUGAGCAGCUGAUCAGACAAGGAGUACUGGAGCACAUCCUGUCGUGACCAUGCGCUGAGGCACUCCCACCCAGGCUCCACCCGACUCAUGGGUGCCGCUGUACUCACUCCCUCCACCCUCCCUUCACCACCUUCUUUGAUUUCACAAGCUAUAGAUAUUGUUGAAGGUAACUAAGAAUACUUGGCUAAGAAGUCUAAUUUGCUAUUAAAGACUUUCUUCUUUUUUUAAUGCUG